CUAAUCCAGACAUCACGUUUCAUGAUGCCAUAAAUAAACAUAUCGACAAUUCACAGCAAGAUGGAAGAAAGGAGGAUACCAAGAUAAGAAGAUCAAGGAGAUAAAGAAAGCUAAAUUUGACAAGGGUCAACAGACCAGACAGCUCUCCCACAGCCAGCCUGAGAACCUGCUUUACGGUCUGAAUAGCCUGGGUGAAGUUGAAGACUUGUGCAUCAGAUGGCUGAGAAAAGGAUAGCCCAGAGCAAGAGGGAGCCCAGCAGAGGCUAAGAAGGAGGCAGCAAUGGAGUUCACAAACCCACAUACAGCUGAAGGAGGUACCGAAUGACAUCUGAGGUCCAUUUCAGAUGUCUCGGGCUUAUUGUGAAAGUUAAAAACGAAAAGAAUGUUUCUGGCAUGUGCUGCCUUUAUAAAGGUUGAAAGGAGUAAUAAAGUUUGCUGACGUACAGUCUUUAGUUCGGACAGCAGCCUACGUGUUGUUGUUUGGUGAUCCUCAUAAGUAAACACUACUUGUGACAAAAACAACAGUUAAAAAAAAUGCAAAAUAAUCGCAUGGAAAAAACUUCCUUGGUGUGCAACAGCCUUUAAUCUCACCUCUGAUAUUUUUGAUUAAGAGCUA